UUCACUUUCCCCAGGCACAGCUCUCUCUUCCCUCCCCCACCUAUAUUUUUGGAGGAUGCUGCCUAAAGGAAAAGUGAAAGUCACCAGCCUUUGUUUUGACUGCAGAGAAAAACAGCCCAGUUGGGGUUCACAGCCAACAGCCCACACCUCGGGAACACAAGCAACGAGAGUCGGCCUCUGAAUGGGAGUGUGCUAAGAAAUGGGGUCCUAAAGACAUUUGGAAAUAGCAGUGAACCUGUGGGUACAGCCUGGACCAGACUAAGCAUCUGCCCCCCUGCCUGCUCUGUCCCACCCCCACCAGAUCGCCACAGGGGCUCUCUAAAGACUGUGCUGAAAGGAGGAGAUGCAUGUGCAGUGCUCAGUACAAAAUUCAAGUAUCUCCAGAAGAGUAAAUGGGAGGAGAUGGAGGCCUGAGAAUUUACCCUUGUGGGACCAAGGAUGCAGAGCACAUUUGCAAUGGAGCUGAAUAAUUCACAGUUUGGGAGCUGUAAGGAAAAAUGUGACCUCCUUCUGCUCCUGUAUUUCUAAACUCCCACUUGUCAAUCCUCUAGAACAACUCUUAUGCUGGAAACUAGAUGAAUCAGUUUGGCUCAGGCUAUCACUUGGAUAACUACAAUUUAAAAACCAGAUACAGAGGGCAAACAAACAUCUGUUGGGGGCCUUAUCUACAGAGGGCCUUCGACUUUGGCUUGGCAAUUAGCACUCUGUGGUGAAUUAUAAUCCCCACUAAUUCACAGAAGUAGUAUUUAUCACUUCAGACCUGGUAAAGAUCCCAUAUGUUUAUUGUUGCCAUGAGUUUGUGCCUUCUCCAGCCAAAGAAUAACUAGGCUUCCAUACUGUGCUUUGAACAAAAGGUUUGACUGGAAACUGACAGUAUAAUGCCGGAGUGUCAUGUGUGUGUUUAGGUUGCAUGCUGUGAUGGAUGAUUUCUGAACAACCUGGUAUAGACCCCUGUAAGCAGCUAAAUUACAACAGAGAUGAAAAUGUUUCUUCACUUUGGACCUUCUGACAUCAGUGGUUUUAAUUCUGCUGGCAUGCUUGUUCCUAUGACUUCAUUAACAGCCAAAUCCUGAUACAUCAAAACCAAUGUAAGAACUUCUUGUGACUUCAGGGUAAUGCUGAAUUUGGUUCUCUGGCACCGAAUGCUUAGGCCUAGUCUACACUACAAAGUCAGGUCAAUGUAAGUCAUCUUGCAUCAGCCUCUUUGUGCAUGUGUCUACACUCAAAUUUGUCUCUGGCUGAUGCAAGUGCCCCACUACAGAGACACAGUAAAAACACCUGCCCGAACUGCAGAGAGCCAUGGUUGACCUACUGAGGUCAAUGCAGAGUGAGUGUAGCCAUUGUAUGACCUGUGUUGAUUCCAGCAACCUCCACCAAUUGUCCCAGUGGACAGUGACCAUCCUGGUUAUAUUUUUAAUCUCCACUGCCUAUGGGUCACAGAGACUGGAAACCACACACACCCCAUUUAACUCCCCCGUGUGCUUUUGAAAUGCCUCUUCCUGAUUGCCCAGCUUGGCAAGCACACACAGCAGCUCACCUUUGUUACAUGCAGUUGCCUUGCCCAGCUGCCUAUGCCAGCUCCACGCGCACAGAGGUACAAGAUACAGUCCUGCCUGGAGUAAACAAAAAGUAUUGGAUUUCCUGGACACAGCUGUGGACCAGCUGUAGAAACAUGGACAUCUACGACCAGACUGCAUAGGGGGUACAGAGAAAGGGGUAUGAUGGGGAUCAGCAGCAGUGCUGUGUGAACGCGAAGGAACUUUACCAGGGAUAUCACAAGGCCAGGGAGGCCAAUGAUGGAUCUGAUGCUGCGCCACAGACCUACUGCUUCUACAAGGAACUGCAUGCCAUCCGUGGUGGAGACCUCACCAGCAACCCACAGACCACUGUGGAUACCUCAUGGGAUCCCAAGAUCCUGGCUGUGAACGGCGAGGAGGAGGAGGAUGGGAUGGGGGAAACAUAGCAGGGGACUCCAGCUAUGCUGUGAGCCAGGACCUGUUUGAGGCUCCACCAAAGUCUAGCAAGUCCUACCAAGCGAGCACAGAUGAGCCUAAUGAAGGGGAAGAGAACUCAGCUUUUGGCAGGGUAGCCUUGAGAGGUGCCCCCUCCUCGCCAGCAGAACACCUGACCCUGAAGAGGACGAGAAAGAGGAGAAUGAGGGAGGACAUGAUUUGUGAGAUCCUGUAAGCCAGUGCUUCAUCAGACCAUGAACAAAGAGCUUGGAGAGCCACCGUGACCAACAGCAUGGAAAAGGAAAGAGAGUACAAGAAAGAGGCCUCGGGAGUUGCAGCAGGAAAUGUAGCGAAUGUAGUAGGUCUUCUCAGGUAGCAAACUCAAGUGCUGCAGGCCCUGAUUGAUCUACCAAUCCAAAAAUCCCAGACCUGCCCAUCCUUUGCAGUCCUUGGAGAAUUCCAUGGUCGCUGCUCCCUGCACCUCCUAAUAUACCACAUGGCAUCACAGGGCACAUCCUUACCACUUCCACUUCAUGCCAGGGACAGUAAGGAAAACCACAGCUUUGCAUACACUGAUCUGUGAGAACCAUGGCAGGUGUGUGUGUGUAGCCACACUGGACUAUGCUUGUUUCCUCAACUGGACACACAUGUUUACUUCCUUUUAUAAUUUUAAACUUUCACCCCAUUAAGUUAAAAACUUGUGUAAUAGGGCCUAUGUGACUUUUGGUUUUUGCACAUUGAUUUUCU